rnacentral:rRNA from 1 species
GACGAACGCUGGCGGCGUGCCUAAUACAUGCAAGUAGGACGCAGUUGCGAACGUGUGAGUAACGCGUAGGUAACUACCUAUUAGACGGGGAUAACUAUUGGAAACGAUAGCUAAUACCGCAUACUAGUAGAUUGACCUACGUUGUAUUAGCUAGUAGGUAGGGUAAUGGCCUACCUCGGCAACGAUACAUAGCCGACCUGAGAGGGUGAUCGGCCAAACGGGGACUGAGACACGGCCCCGACUCCGACGGGAGGCAGCAGUAGGGAAUCUUCGGAAAUGGGGGUAACCCUGACCGAGCAACGCCGGGGGAGUGAAGAUGGGUUUCUGAUCGUAAAGCUCUGUUGUUAAGGAAGCGGUACUUAACCAGAAAGGGACGGCUAACUACGUGCCAGCAGCCGCGGUAAUAC